rnacentral:rRNA from 1 species
GAUGAACGCUGGCGGCGUGCCUAAUACAUGCAAGUCGAGCGAACAGACGACAGUCCUGGCGCUCUCUGGCGUUAGCGGCGGGCGUGAGAGUAACAUGUGGGUCACCUACCUUUAAGACAGGUAUAACUACGGGAAACCAGAGCUAAUAACGGAUAAUAUUUAGCUUCGCAGGGAGGAAUAGUGAAAGACGGUUCGGCUGUCCCGUAGGGAUGGACCCGCGGUGUAUUGGUGAGGUGGUGAGGUAACGGCUCAUCAAGGCAAGGGUGAAUGGCCGACCUGAGAGGGUGUACCGCCACACUGGGGCUGAGACGCCGCCCAGGCUCCUACGGGAGGCAGCGGUAGGGAAUCGUCGGCAAUGGAGGAAAGUCUGACCGAGCAGUGCCGCGUGAGUGCAGAAGGUUUGCGGAUCGUAAGACUCUGUUGUAAUUGAAGAACGAGUUCGUUAGUAACUGAACGUACCGUGACGGUACCUGAUCAGAAAGCCCCGGCUAACUACGUG